rnacentral:tRNA from 2 species
CAAUUUAUAGCUCAAUCAAAGCAUCUUGCUUACACCAAGAAAACACCCGUUUAACUCGGGUUAAAUUGA